GAUGAACGCUAGCGGAAGGCAUAAUACAUGCAAGUCGAACGGAUGUAGCAAUACAUUAGUGGCGCACGGGUGCGUAACGCGUAUGCAACCUACCUUCAUCAGGGGGAUAACUACCCGAAAGGGUGGCUAACACCGCAUAAUACUAUUGAGUGGCAUAACUUGAAAUUUAAAUCUGAGGAGGAUGAAGAUGGGCAUGCGUCUGAUUAGCUAGUUGGUGUGGUAACGGCGCACCAAGGCGACGAUCAGUAGGGGAACUGAGAGGUUGGUCCCCCACACUGGCACUGAGAUACGGGCCAGACUCCUACGGGAGGCAGCAGUAGGGAAUAUUGGGCAAUGGUGGGAACACUGAACCAGCCAUUCCGCGUGCAGGAAGAAGGGUCUCUGACUUGUAAACUGCUUUAGCAAGGGAAGAAAAAGCUCAUGCGUGAGAAAUUGACGGUACCUUGAGAAUAAGCACCGGCUAACUACGUGCCAGCCGCCGCCGUAAAAC
rnacentral:rRNA from 1 species